CAUUUGUGAUGAUUUUUUAUGCAGUGACAGAAAUCUAAUACAUGGACAUGUUUUUCUUUUUGCAGAUGAGGAAGCUGGGAUCAGGGGAAGUGAAGAAAUGCAUCUCCCACUUUCUUAGUGACUCCCAUGGGCACUAUGCCCAUGUCUAGUGGUGCGGCCAAGGUGUGCAUAUGGGUCUCUUUCAAAUGACAAUUAUUUUUAAGGAAAGAAAACACCUGGCUUUCAGUGAGAGUAAUCAGAUAAAGCUGGUUAUGUUCACUGCAAACCUCCCCUGAGGUAAUGAAUGGGAGGCCCUCGGUGGAAAUGUCAGAAGGGCCAGCCCUUUAUGCUUUAUUUUCUUUAUUCCCGGUCCAAAAUUAGAUGCGACCAGUAUGACUUCACAAGUGCUGUCUUCGGACCCAAGCCGGGAUGUGGCCACUGUUUGCCAGGGAUCCUGCUGCAAAGGAUUCCAAAGCUUGGCUCCCAGCCCAGGUGCCCCUGCACUCCUGAGGCAGAAGCUCUGCAAGGCUUCUCCUUUCUCAUUCCCGAGGCUGGGGCUUCCUCCUUACAAAGUGUCCUUCCAAACUCCUCCUUCCAAACCUGGCUUCUGAUGAGAGGGUGCAGAGAGAAAUUGGGCUUUGGAGCUUUAUCCUGUUACUGAAUUCAAAUGAGAAUGCAGUCACGAAAACCAGGAAUCCUGCCUCCUCAGAUGUUCCUACGAAGAAGUAAACUAUCUCUGAGAAGCCUCAAUGUUGAACUUUAUUCUGGAGAGACAAUAAAGGCCUGUAAUUAGAGCGAUGCUUGAGUGUAUAUCAACUGUCUGACAAAUUGACUUUACUAUAAAUUAGCUAAAUUCCAAAACCAUUUUCAGAAAUAAAAAUAUCUUCCGAAUUUAAAAUGAGCUGUAAGUGUAUAUUAAGGUUAAUUAAACAUCCUUCAUAUUGUUUUUAUACAUAUUUUAAAAGUAACGUGGGCAGAGUAAUUAUGUCUGGAACAUACUCACUUCUCUGGGUACUGAGGUGCUAGUGAUCACAGAACAAAUUCUACUAAGUUAACAAUACUCUCAGUUUUCUUUCUUUUA